UAACGUUUGUAGGUAAGCUCGCGGGGCUC
rnacentral:sRNA from 1 species